GACGAGCGCUGGCGGCGCGCUCAACACAUGCAAGUCGAACGAUGAAGUUCCUUCGGGAAUGGAUUAGUGGCGAACGGGUGAGGAACACGUGGGAAACCCGCCUUUCAUUUUGGGAUAACUCCGGGAAACCGGGGCUAAAACCGAAUACUCCGUCUCGGCGGCAUCGCUGAGCCGGGAAAAAAUUUUGAUGAAAGAUGGUCUCGCGGCCUAUCAGCUAGUUGGUGAGGUAAUGGCUCACCAAGGCAACGACGGGUAGCCGGCCUGAGAGGGCGACGGGCCACACUGGGACUGAGACACGGCCCAGACUCCUACGGGAGGCAGCAGUGGUGGAGAUUGGGCAAUGGGCGCAAGCCUGACCCAGCGACGCCGCGUGAGGGAUGAAGGGCUUCGGGUUGUAAACCUCUUUCAGUAGGGAAGAAGCGAAAGUGACGGUACCUAAAGAAGAAGCACCGGCUAACUAUGUGCCAGCCGCCGCGGUAA
rnacentral:rRNA from 1 species